CUUGCCAAGAAAGAGCCCUGCUGGAGAAGGCUUCACAUCCAGGCUGUCACUGCAGCUGCUGCCAGCAGCAUCCCCUGCACAGAACUGCUGCAGCCAUGGAGCUGCAGGCACCAGCUGGGCUCAGCACUGGGGAAGAGUCUGGAGAAGGGUUUGGAUCAGCCCCAGCCACCCCCUGCUCUCAGGGAACAGGGAAUGGAAGGAAUGACCUGAAUUUUCAAGUCCAACUCGCAGGAAGUGUGGCCAGCAGAGAAUCCCAAGUGAUCCUGG